rnacentral:lncRNA from 1 species
GGGGAGUCAAGAAAAGUAGAGCUAGACUGAGAUCUUCCUGGUUGUCUCCCAGCCCAGUGAACCUCCCUGGGGGCCACAGCUACACAAAGAAGGGAAGAAGAGAAGGGAGCAUAGAAAAGAGGGCACUUGGCUGCUCAGCACCCCUGAGUAGAUAUGAGCAAGAAAAGGCCCUGGGCUACCCUGGGAUGAAGAGUGUGGGGUUGGUAGGCUUAGCCAAGUCGAAGCCCAGCCUCACUGCCUGCACUGGACCCUCCCUUCUCUGUGACCACACUGUGACCUUGCUGACACGUGCCUCCCUUCCCUGCCCUCUCCAAACCCUGGCCCAAACACAAAACAGGCUAAGAAGCAAAGAACAAAUGUUCCUGGACUACGACAUUGUCUGUCGCCCGCCUGUCCAGCGCCUGCUCAGCAGGAAACCCAGAACAAAGGCUUUGGUCAGAGUGAGGAGGAUAAAGGGCAAAGGGCCACAAACAUACUCGGAAGCACAAUCACCACCUCCCAGCUCCUCUCUGACAAAACAUCCAGUAAAAUUCAUCAGGUCCCCACCACAGGUCUUCCUGGCUACAUACAACAGCCACAACACACACACAACCACGUACACGAUCCCCCAUGCACACUGCUCCUGCAACAACUCCAUCCUGCAGUAACAGACACACACAGCCACAUAUACACAACAGUCACACACCCUGCUACCACUCCACAUCCACAACACUGCCUCCCUAGCCACACAUGGCAUGCAAUGACAUAAAUGCACAAUCCCCACACUCACCAUGAUAUAAUCAUCAAUGGCACAACACACAUUUUCACACACGGCACACCCAACACAUCCAGCCCAGAUCAAGCUACACACAAACACACACACUCCAGACUCACACAGCCCUGGACAGCUCUCCCCUCAGGUGACUGACCUCAGCUUGCCAUCUAUUCCUCUCCCUCACCCCAAACCUCCAGCUGCCUCAGUCAAGACCAGGAAAGCAGGAACAAUGGGGUAAUAAGUUAUGAAUGCCAAUGCCCCACCAUGUGGGCACCACCUGCCUCAGUUUCCCAGCAGAGGCACACAUAAGGGGAAGAGAUGAUCCCAGAAAGAGACCCUAGAACAAAGAUAGAGACCCAGAGGAAUUGGAGAGACAAACAGGCCAAGAGAGGUGGGUAUGCUGGGCAAAAGACCAAACACAAGAAAGAGGCAGAAGGAGAGAGAGAGAGAGAGAGAGAGAGAGAGAGUGAGGGGGGGGAGAGUUGGAGAGAGACCUGGAAACUAAAGUGGGAGCACCACAUUUGUCCAGAGAAAGGAAGGGGAGGUCAGCAGGAAAAGACUAGAGUGUCCCCUCUAAAGGGGAGAGGGGAGGAACCUGGCA